CUUUGAAGCCAGUCCACUCUCAAUAUACUUGAUCUACUCAGACCUCAGAAGCUAAGCUGGGUCAGCUCUGGUUAGGACUUGGAUGGGAGACAAUACCAAGUGUGUCAUAAU
ensembl:rRNA predicted gene, 25348